UGUGUACUCCCUCCAUUCCAAAAUACUUGACUUCCAUUUGUCCAAAAAUGGAUGUACCUAUAUACUAAAACAUGUCUAGAUACAUCUAUAUUUUGACAAAUAUAAGGCAUGUAUUGUGGAACGGAGGGAGUAGAAC
rnacentral:pre_miRNA from 1 species